UUAAUUAUUUUGAUAUUUUCUCAGACGUUAACAAAUUAUCAGAAUUGGUUACUUCGGCAGGCACAAACCAGCGUUGGCCGGUAUCCCCCCCCAUAAAAGAAGAGGAUGGCCCACCGAAGCUGCUUUACAGCUUAUGAUAAAAACAAGGAUGGGAGUAGAGGGGUUUUUCACAUCCCUCUGAACUCGGUAAUGAUCCUUCCGCAGGUUCACCUACGGAAA
rnacentral:misc_RNA from 1 species